GGGUUGUGAGGUUAAGCGACCAAGCGUACACGGUGGAUGCCCUGGCAGUCAGAGGCGAUGAAGGACGUGCUAAUCUGCGAAAAGCGCCGGUAAGGUGAUAUGAACCGUUAUAACCGGCGAUGUCCGAAUGGGGAAACCCAGUGUGACUCGUCACACUAUCAUUAACUGAAUCCAUAGGUUAAUGAGGCGAACCGGGGGAACUGAAACAUCUAAGUACCCCGAGGAAAAGAAAUCAACCGAGAUUCCCCCAGUAGCGGCGAGCGAACGGGGAGGAGCCCAGAGCCUGAAUCAGCAUGUGUGUUAGUGGAAGCGUCUGGAAAGGCGCGCGAUACAGGGUGAGAGCCCCGUACACAAAAGCGCACAUGCUGUGAGCUCGAUGAGUAGGGCGGGACACGUGGUAUCCUGUCUGAAUAUGGGGGGACCAUCCUCCAAGGCUAAAUACUCCUGACUGACCGAUAGUGAACCAGUACCGUGAGGGAAAGGCGAAAAGAACCCCGGCGAGGGGAGUGAAACAGAACCUGAAACCGUGUACGUACAAGCAGUGGGAGCCUCUCUUUAUGGGGGGUGACUGCGUACCUUUUGUAUAAUGGGUCAGCGACUUAUAUUCUGUAGCAAGGUUAACCGCAUAGGGGAGCCGAAGGGAAACCGAGUCUUAAUUGGGCGUUAAGUUGCAGGGUAUAGACCCGAAACCCGGUGAUCUAGCCAUGGGCAGGUUGAAGGUUGGGUAACACUAACUGGAGGACCGAACCGACUAAUGUUGAAAAAUUAGCGGAUGACCUGUGGCUGGGGGUGAAAGGCCAAUCAAACCGGGAGAUAGCUGGUUCUCCCCGAAAGCUAUUUAGGUAGCGCCUCGUGAACUCAUCUCCGGGGGUAGAGCACUGUUUCGGCUAGGGGGCCAUCCCGGCUUACCAACCCGAUGCAAACUGCGAAUACCGGAGAAUGUUAUCACGGGAGACACACGGCGGGUGCUAACGUCCGUCGUGAAGAGGGAAACAACCCAGACCGCCAGCUAAGGUCCCAAAGUCAUGGUUAAGUGGGAAACGAUGUGGGAAGGCCCAGACAGCCAGGAUGUUGGCUUAGAAGCAGCCAUCAUUUAAAGAAAGCGUAAUAGCUCACUGGUCGAGUCGGCCUGCGCGGAAGAUGUAACGGGGCUAAACCAUGCACCGAAGCUGCGGCAGCGACACUGUGUGUUGUUGGGUAGGGGAGCGUUCUGUAAGCCGUUGAAGGUGUCCUGUGAGGGGUGCUGGAGGUAUCAGAAGUGCGAAUGCUGACAUAAGUAACGAUAAAGCGGGUGAAAAGCCCGCUCGCCGGAAGACCAAGGGUUCCUGUCCAACGUUAAUCGGGGCAGGGUGAGUCGACCCCUAAGGCGAGGCCGAAAGGCGUAGUCGAUGGGAAACGGGUUAAUAUUCCCGUACUUGGUGUUACUGCGAAGGGGGGACGGAGAAGGCUAUGUUGGCCGGGCGACGGUUGUCCCGGUUUAAGCGUGUAGGUGUGUGUUCCAGGUAAAUCCGGUUCACUUUAACACUGAGGCGUGAUGACGAGGCACCACGGUGCUGAAGCAACAAAUGCCCUGCUUCCAGGAAAAGCCUCUAAGCAUCAGGUAACAUCAAAUCGUACCCCAAACCGACACAGGUGGUCAGGUAGAGAAUACCAAGGCGCUUGAGAGAACUCGGGUGAAGGAACUAGGCAAAAUGGUGCCGUAACUUCGGGAGAAGGCACGCUGACACGUAGGUGAAGUGAUUUACUCAUGGAGCUGAAGUCAGUCGAAGAUACCAGCUGGCUGCAACUGUUUAUUAAAAACACAGCACUGUGCAAACACGAAAGUGGACGUAUACGGUGUGACGCCUGCCCGGUGCCGGAAGGUUAAUUGAUGGGGUCAGCGCAAGCGAAGCUCCUGAUCGAAGCCCCGGUAAACGGCGGCCGUAACUAUAACGGUCCUAAGGUAGCGAAAUUCCUUGUCGGGUAAGUUCCGACCUGCACGAAUGGCGUAAUGAUGGCCAGGCUGUCUCCACCCGAGACUCAGUGAAAUUGAACUCGCUGUGAAGAUGCAGUGUACCCGCGGCAAGACGGAAAGACCCCGUGAACCUUUACUAUAGCUUGACACUGAACAUUGAGCCUUGAUGUGUAGGAUAGGUGGGAGGCUUUGAAGCGUGGACGCCAGUCUGCGUGGAGCCGACCUUGAAAUACCACCCUUUAAUGUUUGAUGUUCUAACGUGGACCCGUAAUCCGGGUUGCGGACAGUGUCUGGUGGGUAGUUUGACUGGGGCGGUCUCCUCCUAAAGAGUAACGGAGGAGCACGAAGGUUGGCUAAUCCUGGUCGGACAUCAGGAGGUUAGUGCAAUGGCAUAAGCCAGCUUGACUGCGAGCGUGACGGCGCGAGCAGGUGCGAAAGCAGGUCAUAGUGAUCCGGUGGUUCUGAAUGGAAGGGCCAUCGCUCAACGGAUAAAAGGUACUCCGGGGAUAACAGGCUGAUACCGCCCAAGAGUUCAUAUCGACGGCGGUGUUUGGCACCUCGAUGUCGGCUCAUCACAUCCUGGGGCUGAAGUAGGUCCCAAGGGUAUGGCUGUUCGCCAUUUAAAGUGGUACGCGAGCUGGGUUUAGAACGUCGUGAGACAGUUCGGUCCCUAUCUGCCGUGGGCGCUGGAAGACUGAGGGGGGCUGCUCCUAGUACGAGAGGACCGGAGUGGACGCAUCACUGGUGUUCGGGUUGUCAUGCCAAUGGCACUGCCCGGUAGCUAAAUGCGGAAAAGAUAAGUGCUGAAAGCAUCUAAGCACGAAACUUGCCCCGAGAUGAGUCUUCCCUGAGACUUUGAGUCUCCUGAAGGAACGUUAAAGACGAUGACGUUGAUAGGCCGGGUGUGUAAGCGCAGCGAUGCGUUGAGCUAACCGGUACUAAUGAACCGUGAGGCUUAACCUUACAACGCCGAAGCUGUU
rnacentral:rRNA from 1 species